UACGUAGGGAGCAAGCGCUGUCCGGAAUCAUUGGGCGUAAAGCGCGCGUAGGGGGCCCAGUAAGUCCGUUCUGAAAGUCACAGGCUCAACCUGUGAAAGCGGAUGGAUACUGCUGGGCUAGAGUCCGGAAGAGGCGAGUGGAAUUCCUGGUGUAGCGGUGGAAUGCGCAGAUAUCAGGAGGAACACCAACGGCGAAGGCAGCUCGCUGGGACGGUACUGACACUAAGGCGCGAAAGCGUGGGGAGCGAACAGG
rnacentral:rRNA from 1 species